rnacentral:other from 1 species
UGUCGUCUAGGAUAUUCGAGGAGUAAAUGGGAAAUCCCUUGAGCCUAAUUUUAUAUUACAGGGAUUUGAUGAGAUUUUGUGAGCAUGACCGCUACGGUGGUAAGCCUAAUGAGUUUUUGAGGAUCCCGUCUUGAGCCUUACUGGUUCAAGGUCGAUGUUUACUUCACGAUAAUCUUGGUAGACAC